GCCUAAAACCUAACCUACACAUACUCGCAUGAACUCUCUUCCAUAAUCCCUAAAUAAAACAUUUUAUUAUUAUAGUACAGGUGAUCGAAAAAUUUCUAAGCGCUUCAGAUAAAGUACCGCAAGGGAAAGAUGAAAUAGAAUUGAAAUAAUCUUAAAGCCUUAAACAGUAGAGAUAUUCCCUCGUACCUUUUGCAUCAUGGUCUAGUUAGUCUAUUCAAGCAAAAUGAAAAUUUUAGUUAGACACCCCGAAACUAAGGGAGCUACUUCAAAACAGCCUAUUGGGCCAACCCAUCUCUGUUGCAAAAGAGUGGGAAGAUUUUCAAGUAGAGGUAAUAAGCCUACCGAACUUAGAGAUAGCUGGUUGUUCAGGAAAAGAGUUUUAGCUCUACCUUAAGCUUCGUUAUGAUACUAAACAAAUACAAAAAGCUUAAGAGCUAUUCAAAUAAGGCACAGCUUAUUUGAAAUAGGAUACAACCUAUAAUAAUGGGUAAGUAAAAUUUAAUAAAAUGAAGUGGGCCUAAAAGCAGCCACCUUUUAAAAAGCGUUUAAGCUUAAUUAGAAUUAUUAAUAAUUUCCACAAUCUUUUCAAACCCUUUAUUCUUACUGAACUACUUUAUAAUUUUAUAAAAGCAAUAAUGCUAGAACUAGUAACAAGAAAUUGAUUUUCUCCUAAAUGUAAGCAUAAACCAAAAUGGACUCCCCAUUGGUAAUUAACGUCAAUGCAAAAUUAUAACAACACACUAGAAAACCUUAUAACCGAUAACGUUAACCUCACACUAGAACAUUUCAGGAAAGAUUAAAAGAGAAAGAAGGAACUCGGCAAAAUUUAGCCUCGCCUGUUUACCAAAAACAUCGCCUCUUGACAAAAUAUAAGAGGUCCAGCCUGCCCAGUGAUAUAAUUCAACGGCCGCGGUACCCUAACCGUGCGAAGGUAGCAUAAUCACUUGUUCUUUAAAUGGGGACUCGUAUCAAUGGCACCACGAAGGCUAUACUGUCUCCUUUCUCCAAUCAGUGAAACUGAUCUUCCCGUGAAGAAGCGGGAAUUUAAAUAUAAGACGAGAAGACCCCAUGGAGCUUUAAACUCACUAUACACCUCUGCAUCCUUUAAAUCCACCCACCCAAGAGUAUUGUAUACUAAUUUUAGGCUGGGGGGGCCUCCGAAUAAAAUUUAACCUCCAUAACAAAUGGGCUAACACCCUUAUCUACGAAAAACACCUCUAANAAUUAUUAAAAUAAUGUUAAAGACCCGAUAAUUCGAUUAAUGAACCAAGUUACCCUGGGGAUAACAGCGCAAUCUACUUCGAGAGUUCCUAUCGACAAGUAGGUUUACGACCUCGAUGUUGGAUCAGGGUAUCCCAGUGGUGCAACCGCUACUGAUGGUUCGUUUGUUCAACG
rnacentral:rRNA from 1 species